AUUGAACGCUGGCGGCAGGCCUAACACAUGCAAGUCGCACGAGUGGCGGACGGGUGAGUAAUGUCUGGGAAACUGCCUGAUGGAGGGGGAUAACUACUGGUCACGGUCGCUAAUACCGCAUACCAUCAGAUGUGCCCAGAUGGGUUUCGAUUGUGGGUGGGUUAACGGCUCACUAAGGCGACGAUCCCUCGCUGGUCUGAGAGGAUGACCAGCCACACUGGAACUGAGACACGGUCCAGACUCCUACGGGAGGCAGCAGUGGGGAAUAUUGCAUAAUGGGCGCAAGCCUGAUGCAGCCAUGCCGCGUGUAUGAAGAAGGCCUUCGGGUUGGAAAGUACUUUCAGCGGGGAGGCGUUACCCUCAGAAGAAGCACCGGCUAACUCCGUGCCAGCAGCCGCGGUAAUAC
rnacentral:rRNA from 1 species